rnacentral:RNase_P_RNA from 1 species
UAUGCAGGUCACCUUAUCGCUCUAAUUUAUUAGAGAGGAAAGUCCGGACACCAUAGUGCAGUAUAGCGGGUAACACCCGUCAUCCGUGUAUAACGGAGCGGACAAGUGCAACAGAAAGCAAGUACAGUUCGGCUGUAGUGAAAUCAGGUAAACUCUAUGCGGUGAAACGUCAUGUAAACCAGUAUUUUAAGGUAGCACGCCUUAGCUGGAGGGUAGGCGGUUGGAGCUUUUGGGCAACUAAAAGUCUAGAUAAAUGAUAAGGAUUCACAUAGUGAAUACAGGAUCCGGCUUAUGACCUGCUUUUUUC